UACGUAGGGGGCUAGCGUUGUCCGGAAUCAUUGGGCGUAAAGCGCGUGUAGGCGGUCCGGUAAGUCCGCUGUGAAAGUCGGGGGCUCAACCCUCGGAUGCCGGUGGAUACUGUCGGGCUUGAGUACGGAAGAGGCGAGUGGAAUUCCUGGUGUAGCGGUGAAAUGCGCAGAUAUCAGGAAGAACACCCGUGGCGAAGGCGGUUCUCUGGGACGGUACUGACGCUGAGACGCGAAAGCGUGGGGAGCGAACAGG
rnacentral:rRNA from 1 species